UACGAAGGGGGCUAGCGUUGUUCGGAAUUACUGGGCGUAAAGCGUGCGUAGACGGUUAUGUAAGUCGGGUGUGAAAGCCCCGGGCUCAACCUGGGAAUGCCAUUCGAGACUGCAUAGCUAGGGUGCGGAAGAGGGAAGCGGAAUUUCCGGUGUAGCGGUGAAAUGCGUAGAUAUCGGAAGGAACACCAGUGGCGAAAGCGGCUUCCUGGUCCAGCACCGACGUUCAGGCACGAAAGCGUGGGGAGCAAACAGG
rnacentral:rRNA from 1 species